AGUUGGUUAAAAGUCUGUAGACAGAAAAUAACGUCGCUGUCCCUUUAAGAAACCAGCGUUACAGGUGCAGUGUCUGGGUGACGCUGCAGUACGCAGACCCGAAGGAGAGAGCAGAGGAGGAAUCGGAGAAAAAAAAGAGCGGUGAUUAAUUAACAGAAAAAAGUUAAUAUUUUAGUAAACAAAACAUAAUUUACCUGGUCGGGAACUGACGAGGAUUUUAUGAGAACUAAGCCAUAUCGGUUUUGGUCAGGUUUUUUGUUUGGAUUGGAAGUUUGGUCGGAGCGAGGAUUACCCCUUGCUCACACUGGCUCCGGUGCGGUUACCGAGCCGACGGAGACCGCAACUCCCGCACACCCCCUCUCACUGCCAUGUGCGGCGUGCACAUUCACAGACGGGAUUCAAGAUGGCGAGCCAGACCUAGAACUUCAAUUCAUCUUGUCCAUUGAGGGAGGGACUUUCCCGCGUGUGGUAAUCCCCUGCCAGAGCGGUAGGGAUAUCAGAAACUAGUUUGAACUGAACUAAAAAA